UGUGGGAGGGGGCUUGCCCCCGAUAGCGGUGGCUCAGUUGGAACAUUUUUGACUGACACGCUGCUAUCGGGGGCAAGCCCCCUCCCACA
rnacentral:misc_RNA from 1 species